rnacentral:rRNA from 1 species
AUUGAACGCUGGCGGCAGGCCUAAUACAUGCAAGUCGAACGGUAACAUAAGAAGCUUGCUUUCUUGAUGACGAGUGGCGGACGGGUGAGUAAUAUUUGGGAAGCUACCUGAUAGAGGGGGACAACAGUUGGAAACGACUGCUAAUACCGCAUAUAGCCUAAGGGUGAAAGCAGCAAUGCGCUAUCAGAUGCGCCCAAACGGGAUUAGCUAGUAGGUGAGGUAAAGGCUCACCUAGGCGACGAUCUCUAGCUGGUCUGAGAGGAUGAUCAGCCACAUUGGGACUGAGACACGGCCCAGACUCCUACGGGAGGCAGCAGUAGGGAAUAUUGCACAAUGGAGGAAACUCUGAUGCAGCCAUGCCGCGUGUGUGAAGAAGGCCUUCGGGUUGUAAAGCACUUUCGGAGGGGAGGAAAAGAUGACGUUACCCUCAGAAGAAGCACCGGCUAACUCCGUG